CAUCCCAUUUUAUCACCAUUCAGUCAGUCCAUCAAAAAUGAGUGGCUGUGCUAAUGGGGGAAAGUAACUUGUCAUUGUCUGAUAGAGAGGCAGUGACCCAGCUUUCCUAUAUGAAAUGACCAUAACAUCUUAAU